rnacentral:rRNA from 1 species
GCCCAUUGAUAAAAUUAAAAGGCCGCAGUAAUUUGACUGUGCAAAGGUAGCAUAAUCAUUAGUUUUUUAAUUAAAAGCUUGUAUGAAUGGUUGGACGAGAUAAAAUCUGUCUCUUAAUAAAAAGUAGAAUUUAAUUUUUAAGUUAAAAAGCUUAAAUUUAUAUAAAAGACGAGAAGACCCUAUAGAUCUUUAUAAAAAUUUUUUUAAUAUUAAUAUUGAUAAUUUUAUUUAUUAUAUAAAUUUUUAUUUUAUUGGGGUAAUAAAAAGAUUAAAAAAAUUCUUUUUUAUUUAACAAAAAUUAUUGAUUUUAUGAUCCAUUAUUAGUGAUUAAAGAUUAAGUUACCUUAGGGAUAACAGCGUAAUUUUUUUUAAGAGUUCUUAUCGAUAAAAAAGUUUGCGACCUCGAUGUUGGAUUAAAAGUAAUCUUAGGUGUAGAAGU